GUAAGCAAGAAGUGUAUUAAUAAGGUUUAAGGUGGAUGUAAGCAAGGAUGAGGUGUCAACUUGUACUCAUGCAAGGAACUCUAUUAUUAGGUUACUACAUAUUCAUUUUUCUCACAGUACACUUGUGCGUUUUGAGUGAAAUUACUUCCAAAAGUUUCCAUUUUGAGUCUAUUUUCUAAGUUGAAGCUUCUGGUUUAAUUUGAGUAAGAGAGGGCUGGGUUUGAGUUGAAGGAAGUGAGGAAGGUCAGAAUUCGUGUGAUUCUGAACAAUGUGUACUUCAAGAGGGCUGUAGAGUUCAUUUGUUGGAACCUGAAGCUGAAAUUUUGAGGUGAGAAUACUUAGACAUUUUGCAACUACUUUGUAGAAGGAAACAUUUUCAUUUGAAUUAUGGACUUUAUGUUAUUAAGCUCUAAAGUGGAAGAAAGGUUCUGACCGAAAACGAGUUUCUGGACAAUGGAGGUUGGUGGGCGAGGCAUGUUGGAUCAAAGAGGUUUUGAACAAGAAGGAAUUGGACAAGCAUUUCAGCCAAUGGUUUGAUCUACGAUCGAGUCAAUGCCACCAAAGGGUGUACAGACUACAUGGUGAUAAGAAGUUGACUUCUGUAUAGAAAGGAGCAUAUAAAGCUUAGUAGCCUGAGCAACAAGAACGAAUCAGUAUGUUCUCGGAUGCUAUUAUUACAGUAGUCAAACGCAAGGUAAUGAGACCAAGCGUAGAGAACGAUUUGAGAUCCUUGGUGAAAUGAAUAAUUAUAAUGUGUGUUUAUGUGAAAUUUUUAUGUUAUAAAUGUGUUUAAACAUAAAGAAAGGUUUAUGUGAAAUGUUCUGAGGUUGUUUAUGCGAAAUGAUGUUUGUAAAAAGGCAUUGCGAAAAGGUUUUCAUAAAACUUCAUUAAGUCUUUUAGACUUACGUUUUAAAAUUUUACCUUUCAGGACUUAGGCGUUGAGGUCAAGAAGAGAGGAAGUUUGGGCUUCUUAGGCAAGAAGCUGCCAGGCGUUCAAGUUUAAGUGUUGAUUUUUAUCUUUUGAUUGUUGUAUCAUUAUGUACAUGUAUUAAACGCCUUGUUAAGGAACAAAAGUUUAAAGUUCGUUUUAUCUUUCCA